rnacentral:rRNA from 1 species
AUUGAACGCUGGCGGCAUGCUUUACACAUGCAAGUCGAACGGCAGCGCGGGCUUCGGCCUGGCGGCGAGUGGCGAACGGGUGAGUAAUGCAUCGGAACGUGCCCAGUAGUGGGGGAUAGCCCGGCGAAAGCCGGAUUAAUACCGCAUACGACCUGAGGGUGAAAGCGGGGGACCGAAAGGCCCCGCGCUAUUGGAGCGGCCGAUGUCGGAUUAGCUAGUUGGUGGGGUAAAGGCUUACCAAGGCGACGAUCCGUAGCUGGUCUGAGAGGACGACCAGCCACACUGGGACUGAGACACGGCCCAGACUCCUAAGGGAGGCAGCAGUGGGGAAUUUUGGACAAUGGGGGCAACCCUGAUCCAGCCAUGCCGCGUGCGGGAAGAAGGCCUUCGGGUUGUAAACCGCUUUUGUUCGGGAAGAAAUCCUCUGGGCUAAUACCCCGGGGGGAUGACGGUACCGGAAGAAUAAGCACCGGCUAACUACGUG